CCUACGGGAGGCAGCAGUGGGGAAUAUUGGACAAUGGGGGCAACCCUGAUCCAGCCAUGCCGCGUGUGUGAAGAAGGCCCUCGGGUUGUAAAGCACUUUCAGUGAGGAAGAACGCCUGGUGGUUAAUACCCAUCAGGAAAGACAUCACUCACAGAAGAAGCACCGGCUAACUCCGUGCCAGCAGCCGCGGUAAUACGGAGGGUGCGAGCGUUAAUCGGAAUUACUGGGCGUAAAGCGCGCGUAGGUGGCUUGAUAAGCCGGUUGUGAAAGCCCCGGGCUCAACCUGGGAACGGCAUCCGGAACUGUCAAGCUAGAGUGCAGGAGAGGAAGGUAGAAUUCCCGGUGUAGCGGUGAAAUGCGUAGAGAUCGGGAGGAAUACCAGUGGCGAAGGCGGCCUUCUGGACUGAUACUGACACUGAGGUGCGAAAGCGUGGGUAGCAAACAGGAUUAGAUACCCUGGUAGUC
rnacentral:rRNA from 1 species